rnacentral:lncRNA from 1 species
GGGGAGGCACCACAGCCUGUUUGCUCUCUUGAACCUUAUGCUUGUACUCUUCCCCUGGCUUUGGCCCUUCCAGGGUGAAUCAGCUUGUGAUGCCACCAGCCUCUGUGAAAGUCUGAGACGCUGCCAGUGAAGGCCAGGACACGUGGACUCCUGCUCCCACCACACCAAUCUCAACCUGAACCCUCCUGUGCUGGGUGUCAGUGGAUCCUUCAGCUCCACAUCACAGAGGGGGUCUCCAUCUCUCCAUCCCUCUCUCCAGCCUGCAGGGUCAGGCACCAGGAGAUGAGCAGGGCAGCCGGGAACAUGGAAACUUCUGGAACACAAGGACAUUCAGGGGUCCCCUGAGCACGGACAUCAACUGUCCACUGGACCCAGAAAAAGCUGCCCAAGUG